rnacentral:lncRNA from 1 species
UCCAAACUAGUUCUUUCUUUCGCAUUAAGUUUCGUACGGGUAUGACUUAGAAAAUUUUCCCAUAAGAAAUUGUGUGUGUAUUUAUGGGUGUGGGUUUUAAGUUGGGAUCCGGAUCCUCUGCUCUAAUUUUCUCUGUGUAUCAUAACCGUUCAUAAAUAAUAAUAAUACUAAUAAUAUUUUAAAUUUUAAAAAGUUUUACACGAUUUUUUUAUUUUUUUCGUACACCUCUUUUUUUUCAGAAUGAUUUUAUAAACAUGAUAGAUAGCCCACCGUAGUUAAUUUCAAGAUGUUUUUAUUAUUAUCCUAGAUGAGUAUGAUCAUUAUGGGGUGCUAAUGGAAACACUUUUUAACUGUUAGGCGGAGAACAAGAUAUGACUAAAGCUUCUUUUUUUGUUGUUGCUUGUUUUGGACAAAGGAAGCACUUUUCUGCUUAAUUGGA